AGGAAAAGAAACCAACAGGGAUUGCCCUAGUAACGGCGAGUGAAGCGGCAACAGCUCAAAUUUGAAAGCUAGCCUUCGGGUUCGCAUUGUAAUUUGUAGAGGAUGAUUUGGGGAAGCCGCCUGUCUAAGUUCCUUGGAACAGGACGUCAUAGAGGGUGAGAAUCCCGUAUGUGACAGGAAAUGGCACCCUAUGUAAAUCUCCUUCGACGAGUCGAGUUGUUUGGGAAUGCAGCUCUAAAUGGGAGGUAAAUUUCUUCUAAAGCUAAAUAUUGGCGAGAGACCGAUAGCGCACAAGUAGAGUGAUCGAAAGAUGAAAAGCACUUUGGAAAGAGAGUUAAAAAGCACGUGAAAUUGUUGAAAGGGAAGCGCUUGCAAUCAGACUUGUUUAAACUGUUCGGCCGGUCUUCUGACCGGUUUACUCAGUUUGGACAGGCCAGCAUCAGUUUCGGCGGCCGGAUAAAGGCUCUGGGAAUGUGGCCUCCACUUCGGUGGAGGUGUUAUAGCCCAGGGUGUAAUACGGCCAGCCGGGACUGAGGUCCGCGCU
rnacentral:rRNA from 1 species